UACGAAGGGGGCUAGCGUUGUUCGGAAUUACUGGGCGUAAAGGGCGCGUAGGCGGUGUGUCAAGUCAGGCGUGAAAGCCCCGGGCUCAACCUGGGAACCGCGCUUGAGACUGGCACGCUCGAGUUCGGGAGAGGAUGGUGGAAUUCCCAGUGUAGGAGGUGAAAUUCGUAGAUAUUGGGAAGAACACCGAUGGCGAAGGCAGCCAUCUGGACCGACACUGACGCUGAGGCGCGAAAGCGUGGGGAGCAAACAGG
rnacentral:rRNA from 1 species